UACGUAGGGGGCAAGCGUUAUCCGGAUUUACUGGGUGUAAAGGGAGCGUAGACGGCGAUGCAAGCCAGAUGUGAAAGCCCGGGGCUCAACCCCGGGACUGCAUUUGGAACUGUAUAGCUAGAGUGUCGGAGAGGCAGGCGGAAUUCCUAGUGCAGCGGUGAAACGCGUAGAUAUUAGGAGGAACACCAGUGGCGAAGGCGGCCUGCUGGACGAUGACUGACGUUGAGGCUCGAAAGCGUGGGGAGCAAACAGG
rnacentral:rRNA from 1 species